CAAUGUUGAAGAAGCUGACGGUCUCUAUCCUCUAGUGGGCAAGGAAAAAGGAAAGCUUUGGUCAUUACUGAAGGGACUCUUCCUUGAGCUCUCUUGAUCAAUAAGGAGUUCUUCCAAUGGAGAUUUCUUCCAUAGGAGGGUUAUCUGAACUGGGUAUGGAGGAUCCUAGGUUCAUCAAUCAGUGGCACAUGAACUCUGUUGAUGAGCUCAGCAUACUACCACUAGCAGCUACAUUUGGAGAGAGUUUGCAACACUCAUUCACUCAACCAAACUUCAAUCUCAAAAACGCCAUGGCAACUCCUCAGACUGGUACUGACAUACCCAUGAAACAGCUCAAAUCCAACGGCUGGAACUCUUACAAACUUGAAGAUGCAUCAUAUCCCCAACUUCCUCCUACUCCAAACGUUCUAUCAUUUGCCAAUGCGAACUAUGCAAAUCAAAUGGGGAUUGUAAAGCCUAAAGAGGAGGCAGUAUGUUCCCAGAGCGUGAAUACCCUUCCUUCUGAUAUUUUAAUUUCUCAAGGUUCCUUGGGGAACCAAAAUUAUGUAUUUAAGGCCUGCCAUGGUGGUAAGAGGAUUAGCACAAGCACUAGACUUUCUCAAACACAAGAUCACAUUAUAGCAGAAAGGAAAAGGCGAGAGAAGCUCAGCCAGCGGUUCAUUGCUUUGUCUGCUAUAGUUCCUGGCCUGAAGAAGAUGGACAAGGCUUCUGUUCUUGGUGAUGCUAUUAAAUACCUGAAACAACUGCAAGAGCGAGUAAAGACACUUGAGGAACAAACUACGAAGAAAAACAUAGAAUCAGUGGUCUUUGUAAAGAAGUCUCAACUCUUCGUUGAAUGUGACAACUCCAUCUCAGGCAGCGAACCGCUCGAUGAGCAUCUACCAGAAAUUGAAGCAAGGUUCUGUGACAAAAAUGUCCUCAUAAGAAUUCACUGCGAGAAAAGGAAAGGAGUGCUAGAGAAAUCGGUCACUGAAAUUGAGAAGCUCCACCUAACAGUCAUUAAUAGCAGUGUCAUGACAUUUGGGAGUUCUGCUCUUGAUAUCACUAUUAUUGCUCAGGUUAUUUCUUAAAUUCUUCCAUGGACCGAAUCUGGGGAUUUCCAACCACAAAUCUUUUAAAGUAUAGUAGCUUCUUAGAGUGGAAAUUCAAUACGUUUUCGUGCUCCUGGCAUGGAUGAGGGAUUCUGCCUGACGGUAAAGGAUCUUGUGACGAAUCUGCGCUCAGCUAUUGAACUUAUCCUGUGAAACGAAGUUGCAAUUUCAUCUAAGAUGUGGAAUAAACACUUUCAUAGUUUUUUUGCUGCUGCUAGAAGCUUCAGAAGACUAGGAAUAAUCCUCAAAUAUACAAUCGAUCCUUGUCUUAUCUUUUUACUUAAUUUCUGCUUACAGGGCCUGUAAUGGUUUACCAUCUUAGACCAUCUAUUUUUAAGCUUGUUUGCUGUGAGGUCCAUUUAUCGGGUGGGUUUUUUUCUUUUUUUUUUGUUAAUUUUUGCAUGGUUAAAUUCUUGACCAUGUUAAUGACCCACCUGUAUAAAAAGAGUGACAUGACAGCUUGUUUGGGCUUUUUUUUUUUUUUUUUUUUUUGUGUGUGAUGUUGAAAGAAUGUCAACUGAAACUGUGUUGUGCCCCCUUCUCUCCUAAAGUGGUUGAAGAGGGAAAAUGGUUUUUUAGUGUAGACCAGCAGGCCUCUGUUUCAGUAGUUGUUGCCUUGUCAUGUUUUAGGGGUACCUUGAAAGAAAAUUCUUCUUGGACCUCUUUUCUCCCUGUAAUGCUGUAAUGUCAUUGGAUUGUAACAGUUUCAGUUGAUAUAAUGCAAUAAUUGUGACUUUUUAUGCA